AGACUUAGAGAUGCAAAGUACUUGAAUGGU
rnacentral:piRNA from 2 species